CCACAUUUAGUAGGAUAAUCUGGAACGUAAAAUUGGGCAUCAUUUACAGCAUCAAACUUCUCUUUUUAUCAUCCAUCUUUUCCAAAUGAUUCAUGCGUUAUUGCAUAGAAACUCAUGAAUAUCUUUUCCUAAAAUGUCAUGCUUCUAUAAAUAAUGACGAUGAUCAUGGAAAUCCUUGUUUGGUCAAUCAUGGUAGGAGUCUUGGAAAUGUAAUUUUAGUGCAUCUCACAAUUCAUUAAUAGGUGGUUAGUAACUACUUAGUCUAUGGACACAGAAAUCACAUACUUAGUGGUGUCGCUCAACACUUCAUUCAUCUGAAAAGACUGUGAGCUCCACCUGGAAUAAUUAUGGUGCCACAAUCAAUGCAUUUUGUCGCCCAUUACUUCAACUUGCAGUUUACGGGGAGUUUGAAGAUUUAAAUUAGGGCGUAUCCACCUUGCUAUUGGGGAAGCCUCUUGCCCCAUCUAGGUUUCUCAAGGUUACCAGAAGCCCUAUAGGUUUCAGCUUGUGGUCAAGUCAAUUUUAAGGGUAGUUUAAAAAUGCAGCAAAGUGGUGAAAUGCACCAGGUGAUAUCAUAUUUGUCUCACAAAUUGCACGUGUCCAGCUUCUUCAACUCCAUAUGAUCUCCAGAAAGCAAUUUCUCCAUGUCGAUUAUUGGGGGAUCGGGAAUUGAAGUCGGAUAUGAUGUUAUUGGAGGGUCUUGAUCGGGUCGAAUAUACCGGGCUGGGACUGUGGUCAGUGAUUCUUUGGCCAGCUCUUGAACACAAGGUACAGGAAGGGAGCCCCCAAGUGUUUCUAGUUUUGCUUCCAUUGCUUCCUUUAACUUCUCCAAUUGAACCUACAAAGGCAGACUGCGUGUUUCAUGAGUUGGCCUUGUGGUAUACGGUCAGUCACUUCUCAUUUUUCAUUUUUCAAGUGUGACAGUACCUCUCUAUUAAUACUCUAUGGUGGAACCGGAGGGAGGCACCAUGCAAGCCCUUCUAAUUGAGCCGGAAGAUUUCAUUUCCAUUCUAGUCCUCAAACAAUCAAGUGAUCGCACUUCCCUUUUCACAAUCCACGCAUAUGAUGACAAGGGGGAAUUGGGUUCAGCUACCUCAAGGCUUGAAGCGUGUCUGUAACAAGUUGUUGACUCAACUGACAAUGCUAGCUCUCAUUAUGUCCAACGGGCUGCGGCAAUGGCUAUGAUGCUUCCAAGCGGUUUGGGAGCAUGAUGCUCAUCUCAACCAUUGAUCUCAACCAUUGAUUGUCAAAACAUCUCAGUGAUAAGUGUAUUAAGUUUAACCAUACAAUGUAGUAAGUGAAACCAUAUAAAUAGUAAGUGUUGCCUUAAUAAAUAGUAUGUAAAUCUGCUUCUCAAAAAAAAUAGUAUGUAAAUCCUGUUUUUGUGGUAAGUAAUAUUACAAUUUUUUGGCGGAAAAAUAGUAAAACAUCUCGUUUUUAGCAAAACAACCUUGCUUUUUGGUGGGUGGUUUUGAUCUAACGACCGUGAUUUACAUAUUUUUCAAUGUGAGAGUCCAUAUUCAAUGGGAGCAUGCUUGGGAGCAUGACAUAAAUUUUCACGGGCUGCUCCAGAUAUUCCGACAAUUAAAGAGUGCGCAGAUAACGUAAAAGGAAACUAGAACUCUACAGAACUCUCUCUCUGAGUUGUAUGUUUUUCGCAUGCUAUAAGGGAUUUUUUUUUGGCUUGCUGUGAGAGGUGUUACAGCAGAAGUUGACAAAUUGAUUUCUUGUCACAAUCCUGACCUAAUACACACAAGAAUAUUUGAUGGUUAACAAGUUGACUUCUUGACAUCCUCACUUAACGGGCACUGUUCAGUAUUUUGUUAUCGAUAUUAAUGGCAUAAUGUGAUAUAUUGAUAAUUAAUCUGAAGAUUAACUGGAAAGAAAACAGAACUCUACUGACCUCACUCAAUAAUUCAAAUCUCUCUCUCUCUCUCUCUGAGUUGGAUAUUUUUUGCACACCAGAACUGGGGAUUUGUUUUGUUCACUAUGAGAGAUGGUUAAAUAGAAGUUCACAGAUUGGUCUCAUGUGACUCACCUAACAGGCACUAUUGUAACAUGGGCUUUUGUUUCUUGACAUAUAUCACAUGAGGUUGCCAAUACCUUGAGAUUAUUAUUUUUUGCUCGGAGUAUGGAAUAACGAGGUCGAAGUCACAUCUGCUAGCCUGUUGCUAGGUUUGCUCAUGGAUGCUAACAGCGAAUGGUCUAGGAUAUAUAGGCUAAUGUCAAUGUCGAUCUGGAGGUGUGGGUUGAAGAAUUGAGGUUGUACGAAUGAAAAACCAAAAAAGGUCAAAUGUUUAAAUUUGGGUUAUGCACCCUAAUCAUUAGUUAGAACUAUGGUUUUGACGAGUUGCAGAUUAUUCAUCUAAGAUGAUGGUUUACGGGCUUUAGAAAAUGCUGAAGAGUAUUUUGUUUUUGUUUUUGCCCCCUUUUGCUUCUGCUUACCUCUUUUGAAGGAAGGUUGGAGUUGUUUUAGAAGUUUGAGCUUUAUUGCCUGUGCAUUUGUAGGGUUUGCUCAUUGCUUAGGGAUUUCUAGCUGCUUUUUCACUUUGAGCUCUAUUCACAUCCACCAUCUCUGUUUAAUGCGCAGGUUACGCAUGAUCUGUGAGACUGACAGAAUUUAUUCAAAGUGCUCUGAAUGGCUGUUCUGGCUCUUUUUCAAUCCUCAUGGCAUCUAGAUGUGAUUUCCCGUCAAGCUUUUGAGCCAAAAAGCUUUUGAAAUACUCGGAAACCCCAAGUCUUCUAAAAAGUGCAGGAGUUUGUGGGGUA